rnacentral:rRNA from 1 species
GAUGAACGCUGGCGGCGUGCCUAAUACGUGCAAGUCGAGCGAAUGGAUUAAGAGCUUGCCCUUAUGAAGUUAGCGGCGGACGGGUGAGUAACACGUGGGUAACCUGCCCAUAAGACUGGGAUAACUCCGGGAAACCGGGGCUAAUACCGGAUAACAUUUUGAACCGCAUGGUUCGAAAUUGAAAGGCGGCUUCGGCUGUCACUUAUGGAUGGACCCGCGUCGCAUUAGCUAGUUGGUGAGGUAACGGCUCACCAAGGCAACGAUGCGUAGCCGACCUGGGAGGGUGAUCGGCCAAACUGGGACUGAGACACGGCCCAGACUCCUACGGGAGGCAGCAGUAGGGAAUCUUCCGCAAUGGACGAAAGUCUGACGGAGCAACGCCGCGUGAGUGAUGAAGGCUUUCGGGUCGUAAAACUCUGUUGUUAGGGAAGAACAAGUGCUAGUUGAAUAAGCUGGCACCUUGACGGUACCUAACCAGAAAGCCACGGCUAACUACGUGCCAGCCGCCGCGGUAA